rnacentral:rRNA from 1 species
AACGAACGCUGGCGGCAUGCCUAACACAUGCAAGUCGAACGAGACCUUCGGGUCUAGUGGCGCACGGGUGCGUAACGCGUGGGAACCUGCCCUUAGGUUCGGAAUAACUCCCCGAAAGGGGUGCUAAUACCGGAUAAUGUCUUCGGACCAAAGAUUUAUCGCCUUUGGAUGGGCCCGCGUUGGAUUAGCUAGUUGGUAGGGUAAAAGCCUACCAAGGCGACGAUCCAUAGCUGGUCUGAGAGGAUGAUCGGCCACACUGGGACUGAGACACGGCCCAGACUCCUACGGGAGGCAGCAGUGGGGAAUAUUGGACAAUGGGCGAAAGCCUGAUCCAGCAAUGCCGCGUGAGUGAUGAAGGCCUUAGGGUUGUGAAGCUCUUUUACCCGGGAUGAUAAUGACAGUACCGGGAGAAUAAGCUCCGGCUAACUCCGUG